AGAUGCAGUUGUGGCAAUCGACAUAUUUGCAUCUCUUUGUAUGUGUUCUGGAAAUUGUGUCAUCAACAGGACAAGUUACAUUUGGAUUCCAAAGUUCAAACUACACCGUUGGUGAGGCAGAUGGUAAAUUGCAAGUUUGUCUUGGUGUUAGCAAUUUUGAUGGGACUUCCUUUUCAGGAACAUUAACAUUCAGAAAUGGCAGUGCAACAAGCGGAGAAGAUUACUCAGAUGAUGAGCAAACUG